rfam:Salmo salar isolate Sally breed double haploid chromosome ssa19, whole genome shotgun sequence.
UGCAUUCGCUACUGUAAAUCGCUCUGGAUAAGAGCUUCUGCUAAAUGACUAAAA